rnacentral:tRNA from 1 species
UCCCUGUUGGUCCAGUGGUUAGCACUCUGUGCUUCCAAUGCAGGGGGCCUGGGUCCAAUCCCUAGUCAUGGAA